rnacentral:lncRNA from 1 species
UGUUGGGUUUGGGUUGAUCGGUUGUUAGUUUUUUUGUUGGGUUUGGGUUGAUCGGUUGUUAGUUUUUUUGUUGGGUUUGGGUUGAUCGGUCGUUAGUUUUUUGUUGGGUUUGGGUUGAUCGGUCGUUAGUUUAUUGUUGGGUUUGGGUUGAUCGGUUGUUAGUUUUUUUGUUGGGUUUGGGGUGAUCGGUCGUUAGUUUUUUUGUUGGGUUUGGGUUGAUCGGUUGUUAGUUUUUUGUUGGGUUUGGGUUGAUCGGUCGUUAGUUUUUUUGUUGGGUUUGGGUUGAUCGGUUGUUAGUUUUUUGUUGGGUUUGGGUUGAUCGGUCGUUAGUUUUUUGUUGGGUUUGGGUUGAUCGGUCGUUAGUUUUUUGUUGGGUUUGGGUUGAUCGGUCGUUAGUUUUUUUUGUUGGGUUUGGGUUGAUCGGUCGUUAGUUCUUUACAUUGUCUUUUGUAUUCCGUCUUUUUGUUCUUUUUGUUAUUCCCCAUGGCGUUGUCAGGUUAUUUGCGACUUAUAAGGAUGAAUGUAGAAAAAUAUGAUAACUAGAAGUUGCAUUAAAUAAAAA